rnacentral:lncRNA from 1 species
CAAUAACUCAGGUCUCCUGAGUCCCACCUCUAUGCGCCCUUUAGUAACACUUACCUUCUUCUUUGUUUUAGAAGUUGCUGGAAUUGGAAACUGAUCAGAGCAGUGUGCCCUGUCUGUUGGCCUGGGAAAGCCCAAGUAGUCCAUCAUGCUGUGAGGAUUUUUCUUGACUCCUCUUGCUGAUGCCAUUUCGCGGAGCCAGUAACACCAGCAGGAGGAGAUUUGGUUAACUAUCAGCUGUAUUGGGCAUGAAUUUCAGCUUUUCUGUUUUUCACCCAAAUCCAUAUGGCUGCCAAUCCUCAGGCCUAGCCUCCAGCAGUAUGCAGCCUACUUGGGCUUAUCCCCUGGGAGAGGAGCGAGGUGAGUAUGUGUAAUGUGUGUGUGGGGGGGGGGACACAAGAGGGAGCUGAUCC